CCUACGGGGGGCAGCAGUAGGGAAUCUUCCACAAUGGACGAAAGUCUGAUGGAGCAACGCCGCGUGAGUGAAGAAGGGUUUCGGCUCGUAAAGCUCUGUUGGUAGUGAAGAAAGAUAGAGGUAGUAACUGGCCUUUAUUUGACGGUAAUUACUUAGAAAGUCACGGCUAACUACGUGCCAGCAGCCGCGGUAAUACGUAGGUGGCAAGCGUUGUCCGGAUUUAUUGGGCGUAAAGCGAGUGCAGGCGGUUUAAUAAGUCUGAUGUGGAAGCCCUUCGCUCAAACCGGGAACU
rnacentral:rRNA from 1 species